rnacentral:rRNA from 1 species
UACGGAGGGUGCGAGCGUUGUCCGGAAUCACUGGGCGUAAAGGGCGCGUAGGCGGCUCAUGAAGGCUGUGGUGAAAGUCCGGGGCUCAACCUCGGAUCGGCCGUGGCGACUCGUGGGCUGGAGCACUGUAGAGGCGGGUGGAAUUCCGGGUGUAGCGGUGGAAUGCGUAGAGAUCCGGAAGAACACCAGUGGCGAAGGCGGCCCGCUGGGCAGUGGCUGACGCUGAGGCGCGACAGCGUGGGAGCAAACAGG